rnacentral:rRNA from 1 species
AUUGAACGCUGGCGGCAUGCUUUACACAUGCAAGUCGAACGGUAACAGGCCGCAAGGUGCUGACGAGUGGCGAACGGGUGAGUAAUGCAUCGGAACGUGCACAGUCGUGGGGGAUAACUACUCGAAAGAGUAGCUAAUACCGCAUACGAUCUAUGGAUGAAAGCGGGGGACCGUAAGGCCUCGCGCGAUUGGAGCGGCCGAUGUCAGAUUAGGUAGUUGGUGGGGUAAAGGCUCACCAAGCCAACGGUCUGUAGCUGGUCUGAGAGGACGACCAGCCACACUGGGACUGAGACACGGCCCAGACUCCUACGGGAGGCAGCAGUGGGGAAUUUUGGACAAUGGGCGCAAGCCUGAUCCAGCAAUGCCGCGUGCAGGAAGAAGGCCUUCGGGUUGUAAACUGCUUUUGUACGGAACGAAACGGCUCUGGUUAAUACCCGGGGCUAAUGACGGUACCGUAAGAAUAAGCACCGGCUAACUACGUG